rfam:Gossypium raimondii Chr13_contig_1244, whole genome shotgun sequence.
AAUCCAUGCAUCGGGCAUUUUUGAAUUAAUUCUUGAAAUCAUUCCCAAGCUCCAUAUAGUGUUUCAUCCUCUGCUUGUCGAAAAAAUAUGAUGUCAUUUCUAAGCUU